rnacentral:rRNA from 1 species
GACGAACGCUGGCGGCGUGCUUAACACAUGCAAGUCGAGCGGUAAGGCCCUUUCGGGGGUACACGAGCGGCGAACGGGUGAGUAACACGUGGGUGACCUGCCCUCAGCUCUGGGAUAAGCCUGGGAAACUGGGUCUAAUACUGGAUAUGACUCCACGGUGCAUGUCGUGGGGUGGAAAGCCUUGUGCGGCUGAGGAUGGGCCCGCGGCCUAUCAGCUUGUUGGUGGGGUGANGGCCUACCAAGGCGACGACGGGUAGCCGGCCUGAGAGGGCGACCGGCCACACUGGGACUGAGACACGGCCCAGACUCCUACGGGAGGCAGCAGUGGGGAAUCUUGCGCAAUGGGCGAAAAGCCUGACGCAGCGACGCCGCGUGAGGGAUGACGGCCU